GACGAACGCUGGCGGCGUGCUUAACACAUGCAAGUCGAACGGAACGGCCCUGUGUUUGUGGGGUGCUCGAGUGGCGAACGGGUGAGUAACACGUGAGUAACCUGCCCUUGACUUUGGGAUAACUUCAGGCAACUGGGGCUAAUACCGGAUAGGAGCUCCUGCUGCAUGGUGGGGGUUGGAAAGUUUCGGCGGUUGGGGAUGGACUCGCGGCCUAUCAGCUCGUUGGUGGGGUAGUGGCUUACCAAGGCUUUGACGGGUGGCGGGCCUGAGAGGGUGACCGGCCAAAUUGGGACUGAGAUACGGCCCCGACUCCUACGGGAGGGAGCAGUGGGGAAUAGUGCACUAUGGGCGGAAGCCUGAUGCAGCAACGCCGCGUGCGGGAUGACGGCCUUCGGGUUGUAGACCGCUUUCGCCUGUGACGAAGCGUGAGUGACGGUAAUGGGUAAAGAAGCACCGGCUAACUACGUG
rnacentral:rRNA from 1 species